GACUUAGGGUUUUAUCUGACAGAAUUCCACGAGUUUUGGUGUUUGUCUAUUUCUGCAGGGGGUUAUCAGGAAAUAAGGAAGAAAGGCCCACAUGUCGGGAUUACAUAGAGAUAUCAGCCCGAAACGGGCCAGGCCCAGGGCGCCCGCCCUGAGGACCUGGGCGCCCGCCCACCUCUGGACUCUGUUCCGGACUCUCUUUGCACACGACGUUCCACC
rnacentral:lncRNA from 1 species